rnacentral:pre_miRNA from 1 species
UUGUAAAGACUGCCUCUCUCUCUCUCUCUCUCUCUCUCUCUAUAUAUAUAUAUAUAUAUAUAUAUAUAUAGAGAGAGAGAGAGAGAGAGAGAUAAUAGAUAAU